CCUACCUAGAUGAAUGAUCUACUUCCUGCGAGCAAUCAUUUUUUAAAUAAAUUUGAUGAAAAGGCCUGUUAGAGUCGAUCAUUUCAGAUAAUAUUUAUUUUCUUUUUUUUUUCCAUACAGACAUCAUCAUUUCACUAUUGAUUUGACAUAAGCAUGUGUAUUUAUGAUAAAAAUCCAUAAUAUCAUUACAAGGCCAAUACACAUAAAAGUCAGAUGAGUCAAUUUUAUUUUUAGAAACGGUUGAGGUCACAAAGUAAUUGACAGAAUAAAAUGUAACUUUCAGCAUAUUUUUUUCACACAAAAAUGUGUUUAUGCGUAGAAAUGUGAUCAGGCUGAGCACAUGGCCUUAUGGAUUACAUAAUUUUCGGUGCUUAACGUAAAAACAGUUUAAGGACAGGAUUCACAAACAUUCAAUUUAUGCUUAAAUGUACAUGCGAUAUAUUAUGCAUAUGAAUAUAGUUUAGGAUAGAAUCGCAUAUGGAAGUAACUAGAAUAAAUUUGGACUAUUUCCUUCGGAUGUUUACAUGUCAGACUGUGCUGUCAAAAGGCCUCCCAUGUGUUUACAUAUUUUGACAGGUCGAGUUGCUCUUGCAGGAACGACGAUAAGAUGAAUACCUGCAGGCUGCACCAUGGAAAUAUUUUAGAUCCAAUUUGAAACUGUCGUGGAACCUGUGUUCGGCCCGCACAUUUCCUAUUCAACAGGAAUGUAUGAUGGAAACCAACAGUACAGAAAGAUGAAGAUGUAAGUUGAUCCAAAUAAACAAUGGGACAAUGAAUGUUAUUAUUACCAGGAAGACUGCACUUUUUUACAG